rnacentral:misc_RNA from 1 species
GAUCAUUACUGAUUUGCUUAAUUGCACCACAUGUGUUUUUCUUUGAAACAAACUUGCUUUGGCGGUGGGCCCAGCCUGCCGCCAGAGGUCUAAACUUACAACCAAUUUUUUAUCAACUUGUCACACCAGAUUAUUACUUAAUAGUCAAAACUUUCAACAACGGAUCUCUUGGUUCUCGCAUCGAUGAAGAACGCAGCGAAAUGCGAUACGUAAUAUGAAUUGCAGAUAUUCGUGAAUCAUCGAAUCUUUGAACGCACAUUGCGCCCUCUGGUAUUCCGGAGGGCAUGCCUGUUUGAGCGUCGUUUCUCCCUCAAACCGCUGGGUUUGGUGUUGAGCAAUACGACUUGGGUUUGCUUGAAAGACGGUAGUGGUAAGGCGGGAUCGCUUUGACAAUGGCUUAGGUCUAACCAAAAACAUUGCUUGCGGCGGCAACGUCUACCACGUAUAUCUUCAAACUUUGACCUCAAAUCAGGUAGGACUACCCGCUGAACUUAAGCAUAUCAAUAA